rnacentral:rRNA from 1 species
CCUACGGGUGGCUGCAGUGGGGAAUAUUGCGCAAUGGGCGAAAGCCUGACGCAGCGACGCCGCGUGAGGGAUGAAGGUCUUCGGUAUGUAAAGCUCCAUCAGCAGGGAAGAAGAUGACGGUACCUGAUUAAGAAGCCCCGGCUAACUACGUGCCAGCAGCCGCGGUAAUACGUAGGGGGCAAGCGUUAUCCGGAUUUACUGGGUGUAAAGGGAGCGCAGACGGCAGUGCAAGUCUGGAGUGAAAGCCCGGGGCCCAACCCCGGAACUGCUCUGGAAACUGUGCGGCUAGAGUACUGGAGGGGCAGGCGGAAUUCCUAGUGUAGCGGUGAAAUGCGUAGAUAUUAGGAGGAACACCAGUGGCGAAGGCGGCCUGCUGGACAGUAACUGACGUUGAGGCUCGAAAGCGUGGGGAGCAAACAGGAUUAGAUACCCUUGUAGUC